rfam:Sus scrofa chromosome 7.
GUCAGGAUGGCCGAGUGGUCUAAGGCGCCAGACUCAAGCUCCUGCUUCCCAAGCUCGGGAUUUCUGGUCUCCAACUGGAGGCGUGGGUUCGAAUCCCACUUCUGACA